CACCAUCCUUUGCUGUAUAAGGUAUUGCGAUUUGUUUCAUCUUGUUCAGCAGACUAACGUCUUUAACCGACACAACUACAAUGGCAGCAAAGGGUGGACCACAAAAAACUCAAUGCAAUCCUCCAGCCCCUAUCUGCCAGGACCAAACACCCAAAUGCCCACCACCAUGCGAGCCUCCAGCUCCAAUAUGUCAGAAUCCAGCACCCGUAUGCCAAGACCCAUGCCAAAUUCAAGAUCCAUGCGCUGUGGUUGAUCCUUGCCAGACACAAGGCAAAGGAUAUGGCGGAGUCAAGAAAUGAAGGGAAUGAAGAUUAUUUCAUUUGAGUAAACCUAUCUAUUAACAAAUGAAAUGAAAUAUUACAGUUUAUCCAGCUGCUUCUCUCAGUUAUCUUAUCUAUGUGAAGUGGAAAUACUUCCAAACUCAUGUUUAAUUGUCCUAGCUGAGUGAAUAAAUGUAUUCUACUUGAUUAAUUCA